GGCAGCAUGGCCAAGCAGUAAGGUAGGGGACUGCAGAUCCUUUAUCCCCAGUUCAAAUCUGGGUGUCGCCU
rfam:Triticum aestivum genome assembly, contig: Triticum_aestivum_CS42_TGACv1_scaffold_342411_4DL